rnacentral:rRNA from 1 species
AGCACAGGUUUACCUGUGUGACUGCGUACCUUUUGUAUAAUGGGUCAGCGACUUAUAUUCUGUAGCAAGGUUAACCGAAUAGGGGAGCCGGAGGGAAACCGAGUCUUAAUUGGGCGUUAAGUUGCAGGGUAUAGACCCGAAACCCGGUGAUCUAGCCAUGGGCAGGUUGAAGGUUGGGUAACACUAACUGGAGGACCGAACCGACUAAUGUUGAAAAAUUAGCGGAUGACCUGUGGCUGGGGGUGAAAGGCCAAUCAAACCGGGAGAUAGCUGGUUCUCCCCGAAAGCUAUUUAGGUAGCGCCUCGUGAAUUCAUCUCCGGGGGUAGAGCACUGUUUCGGCUAGGGGGCCAUCCCGGCUUACCAACCCGAUGCAAACUGCGAAUACCGGAGAAUGUUAUCACGGGAGACACACGGCGGGUGCUAACGUCCGUCGUGAAGAGGGAAACAACCCAGACCGCCAGCUAAGGUCCCAAAGUCAUGGUUAAGUGGGAAACGAUGUGGGAAGGCCCAGACAGCCAGGAUGUUGGCUUAGAAGCAGCCAUCAUUUAAAGAAAGCGUAAUAGCUCACUGGUCGAGUCGGCCUGCGCGGAAGAUGUAACGGGGCUAAACCAUGCACCGAAGCUGCGGCAGCGACACUGUGUGUUGUUGGGUAGGGGAGCGUUCUGUAAGCCUGUGAAGGUGUGUCGUGAGGCAUGCUGGAGGUAUCAGAAGUGCGAAUGCUGACAUAAGUAACGAUAAAGCGGGUGAAAAGCCCGCUCGCCGGAAGACCAAGGGUUCCUGUCCAACGUUAAUCGGGGCAGGGUGAGUCGACCCCUAAGGCGAGGCCGAAAGGCGUAGUCGAUGGGAAACGGGUUAAUAUUCCCGUACUUGGUGUUACUGCGAAGGGGGGACGGAGAAGGCUAUGUUGGCCGGGCGACGGUUGUCCCGGUUUAAGCGUGUAGGUGUGUGUUCCAGGUAAAUCCGGUUCACUUUAACACUGAGGCGUGACGACGAGGCACUACGGUGCUGAAGCAACAAAUGCCCUGCUUCCAGGAAAAGCCUCUAAGCAUCAGGUAACAUCAAAUCGUACCCCAAACCGACACAGGUGGUCAGGUAGAGAAUACCAAGGCGCUUGAGAGAACUCGGGUGAAGGAACUAGGCAAAAUGGUGCCGUAACUUCGGGAGAAGGCACGCUGACACGUAGGUGAAGUGAUUUACUCAUGGAGCUGAAGUCAGUCGAAGAUACCAGCUGGCUGCAACUGUUUAUUAAAAACACAGCACUGUGCAAACACGAAAGUGGACGUAUACGGUGUGACGCCUGCCCGGUGCCGGAAGGUUAAUUGAUGGGGUCAGCGCAAGCGAAGCUCCUGAUCGAAGCCCCGGUAAACGGCGGCCGUAACUAUAACGGUCCUAAGGUAGCGAAAUUCCUUGUCGGGUAAGUUCCGACCUGCACGAAUGGCGUAAUGAUGGCCAGGCUGUCUCCACCCGAGACUCAGUGAAAUUGAACUCGCUGUGAAGAUGCAGUGUACCCGCGGCAAGACGGAAAGACCCCGUGAACCUUUACUAUAGCUUGACACUGAACAUUGAGCCUUGAUGUGUAGGAUAGGUGGGAGGCUUUGAAGUGUGGACGCCAGUCUGCAUGGAGCCGACCUUGAAAUACCACCCUUUAAUGUUUGAUGUUCUAACGUGGACCCGUUACCCGGGUUGCGGACAGUGUCUGGUGGGUAGUUUGACUGGGGCGGUCUCCUCCUAAAGAGUAACGGAGGAGCACGAAGGUUGGCUAAUCCUGGUCGGACAUCAGGAGGUUAGUGCAAUGGCAUAAGCCAGCUUGACUGCGAGCGUGACGGCGCGAGCAGGUGCGAAAGCAGGUCAUAGUGAUCCGGUGGUUCUGAAUGGAAGGGCCAUCGCUCAACGGAUAAAAGGUACUCCGGGGAUAACAGGCUGAUACCGCCCAAGAGUUCAUAUCGACGGCGGUGUUUGGCACCUCGAUGUCGGCUCAUCACAUCCUGGGGCUGAAGUAGGUCCCAAGGGUAUGGCUGUUCGCCAUUUAAAGUGGUACGCGAGCUGGGUUUAGAACGUCGUGAGACAGUUCGGUCCCUAUCUGCCGUGGGCGCUGGAGAACUGAGGGGGGCUGCUCCUAGUACGAGAGGACCGGAGUGGACGCAUCACUGGUGUUCGGGUUGUCAUGCCAAUGGCACUGCCCGGUAGCUAAAUGCGGAAGAGAUAAGUGCUGAAAGCAUCUAAGCACGAAACUUGCCCCGAG